UAAUAUAAACAGGGCCUUAGUUUUCGGACGCAGCGGUAGUAGAGGGCUGUACUUCCCACACAUGCGACUUAUUCGUGUAUUGCAGUUUGGCUGGCGGUUAUGUACGUGGCCUGCAUACCGCCUCCCAUGUUUGAAACUGGUAUUACGACACCUGUCGGGCUGUAGCUAGUAAUUUAGCAGGCUAAUUCAGAUUCAGAUCUCUGCAGCACUAUACCUUGUCAUUUUUUUUAGGACAUCUUUGCCCUUAUUUCUUCUCAUUCUUUUGAUGCGUGUAGCUCAUUUUUAAAAAUCUUUUACCUCAAUUAUUACAAAUGGCACCUUUAAGUCUUUUUACUGUUUCUUUGGUGUUCUUCAAACUUUUAUGGUGUUUAUAAUGUAAAAAAAAUUAUGUAUCAUUAUAUCCAAUUCAACAGGUCCAGGCAAGUAGUCUGUACAUUACAGAUGAUGCAAACACUACAGUAUUCCCAGACCCAACUGGACGAUUUUGCACCUACAGUCUCACACAUCGCGGUCCACGGAGAUCCAGAUCAAAGUCAGCCCCCUGCAAAUAGGGCCCUAAACACUGCAAGCGUUCCUUUUGCCUUCAUGCGCCGACCUUCAUUUUCUGCUUCCACUGACACACCAGGAGCUUCGCCUGGAACUCCACGAGCUGGUGGGCUGUUCCCAGCAAGAUCGUUCCAAAGAUUAGUUGUAAAUUAUGCAACUCAUCUCUGCUACUAAAAGUUGAUCCUAUGAUAUAUUCAUAUUAUUUUUAUUGUGUGCGAUUUUUAAACCGUCUGAUUAAUCCCCAGGUCAAUCCAUAUUGCUGAAGUAGUUAAUGAAAAGUUAAGUACUUCACGGACAGUGGUCAUAUGCUUUUUGGAAGCUGAUGCAACUGUUGAAGGAAUAACGUCAAAGGUGAAGGAUGCCUUAAGCUGUCAUGAGCCACUAACCCUGACAGACAGCCAAGGAAAUGAAAUAACUGACUCCGAGGCCACAAGAAGUUCCCAGUACUGGAAACAGAACUCCAGAAAAAUCUUUGCCAUCUCAGAACAAGAAUUUGUGGAGUUCCAAAAUGGAAGAAGAGGUUAAGUUAGUCGAAGGACUGACGACGGUUCGAGCCUACAGGAGGUUGUUGCUAAAAUUGAUCAACUAAAGCAAGCUGCCGAGGGCCUCCAAGACAUCACUUCAACUAUAAACCAGUUGUCUGAGCUUGCAAAAACUCAAACCACAGCCGUAAUGUCAAAUGCCUCUCGGCGGCAAAUUAAGGAGGCAUUCACCUGUCUUAUUUGUAAAGCUCUAUUGUCAGAGCCCAUGUUUGCCACAUGUUGCCAGUCUCUGGUUGGAUGCCGAACAUGUGUGGAGCAGUGGCUGUUAACUGCAGACAGCUGUCUGAAAUGCAGAAAAGAAGAGUAAAACUCCAAGGUGCAUCAGGUUAGGGGUCUCUCGGAUGUUCUUUCUUUCUUCAAUGAGAUCUAACAAAGAGAUUGUUAGUUAUGCAUCAUUGUUUUAGUAAGGAUGGGCAUACGUGUUACCAGAAAGCUACAGAGGCUGCAAAGUUUGUAUUUCAAGCAAACUGCUGUUAAAUUCAGUUCUCAAAGUUGUACUGUAAUGUAGGUAUGAUAAGCUGCAACAUCCUGUUUAAUGUUUAUAGUAGAACACUAGUUGGUAAAUGCAAUUAAGUUCAAGGAUGCUAAUGUUACAGUAUCUUCAUUCAAUCUGAUGAGCUUAGUUUUAGACACAAGCUCAGUUUGUUUACAAGACCACUAAAAAAAGACUCGACUGAGAAAGACUUGUAAAAGUGGAAUGUAUUUGGGAUAAAGUGCAAUUGUUAUGUAUUGAAGCGGGUUUUACAGUUUCCGUAAUAAAUGUU